UACGAAGGGGGCUAGCGUUGCUCGGAAUCACUGGGCGUAAAGGGUGCGUAGGCGGGUCUUUAAGUCAGGGGUGAAAUCCUGGAGCUCAACUCCAGAACUGCCUUUGAUACUGAAGAUCUUGAGUCCGGGAGAGGUGAGUGGAACUGCGAGUGUAGAGGUGAAAUUCGUAGAUAUUCGCAAGAACACCAAUGGCGAAGGCAGCUCGCUGGGACGGUACUGACGCUGAGGCGCGAAAGCGUGGGGAGCAAACAGG
rnacentral:rRNA from 1 species